rnacentral:rRNA from 1 species
UAUAAUGGCCAAACUUCCUUGUCAAAACCUGAUCUUGUCAGAUCUCAGAAGCUAAGCAGGGCUGGACCCGGUUAGUACUUGGAAGAGAGGCCGCUGGGAAUUCCACAUUGGGGCACCAGUGGCA